AAAAAAUUAGUUAAUUCAUAACAUUAGUUUGUCAUACUAAAAUUAUUAUAAAAUAAUAUUUUUUA
rnacentral:tRNA from 1 species